rnacentral:rRNA from 1 species
CACGUAGGGGACGAGCGUUGUCCGGAUUCAUUGGGCGUAAAGCGCGCGUAGGCGGCUCGGAAAGUCGGAUGUGAAAACCCGAGGCUCAACCUCGGGCGUGCAUCCGAAACUGCUCGGCUAGAGGUAGGUAGGGGAGAUCGGAAUUCCUGGUGUAGCGGUGAAAUGCGCAGGAUAUCAGGAGGAACACCGGUGGCGAAGGCGGAUCUCUGGGCCUUACCUGACGCUCGAGGCGCGAAAGCUAGGGAGCGAACUGGAUAGACUACC